GACGGAGGAUGCAAGUGUUAUCCGGAAUCACUGGGCGUAAAGCGUCUGUAGGUGGUUUAAUAAGUCAACUGUUAAAUCUUGAGGCUCAACCUCAAAAUCGCAGUCGAAACUAUUAGGCUAGAGUAUAGUAGGGGUAAAGGGAAUUUCCAGUGGAGCGGUGAAAUGCGUAGAUAUGCGGAGGAACACCAGUGGCGAAGGCGACACGCUGGGCCGUACCUGACGCUAAAGCGCGACAGCAUGGGGAGCAAACGGG
rnacentral:rRNA from 1 species